rnacentral:lncRNA from 12 species
CCCCCCCCCCCCCCCCCCCCCCCCCCCCCCCCCCCCCCCCCCCCCCCCCCCCCCCCCCCCCCCCCCCCCCCGGGGCUGGCGAGCCGGGCGUGUGCUCGCCCAGCAGCACGGCUUAAACGGGACGCGCUGUCCCUAGGGAGACUGAGGUUACAUUCCUUGUUAUGAUGCUGGGAAAAGAUGAGAGGAGAAAAAUAUGGAUGAAGAGGACAACAAAAAUGCAAAGGAGCAGAGAUGACAGAUACAGCAAAGAAUCUGCAACAAGUUUGUCAGGUCACCUUAAAUGGGAACUAAGCAUGAAACCUGACAGCGGAGUGUGCAGAGAUGAAAUGCUCCUGGAUGACUCCGUGGUGGUUUUGGUUGCUGUGGUGAUUAUCCAUCUGUUUAAAUCCUUCAUAUGGGAGAUUCACAACUCAUUUAUCAUGUUCCCUUCUCCAUGGCACGCUGUGGCAGAUCCUCUUGGGCUUUGAAGUAACUCAGGAAAGGGAGUGACACAUCUGCCUUUCCAUUUGCA